rnacentral:rRNA from 1 species
CCUACGGGAGGCAGCAGUGGGGAAUUUUGGGCAAUGGGCGCAAGCCUGACCCAGCGACGCCGCGUGGAGGAUGAAGGCCUUCGGGUUGUAAACUCCUGUCAGGUGGGAAGAAAUCACUGCCGGUGAACAUCCGGCGGUGUUGACGGUACCACCAAAGGAAGCCCCGGCUAACUCCGUGCCAGCAGCCGCGGUAAUACGGAGGGGGCAAGCGUUAUUCGGAUUUACUGGGCGUAAAGCGCACGUAGGCGGCAUUGCAAGUCGUAGGUGAAAGCCCUCGGCU